rnacentral:rRNA from 1 species
UCAAGUGAAGAAGCGCAUACGGUGGAUGCCUUGGCAGUCAGAGGCGAUGAAAGACGUGGUAGCCUGCGAAAAGCUUCGGGGAGUCGGCAAACAGACUUUGAUCCGGAGAUCUCUGAAUGGGGGAACCCACCUAGGAUAACCUAGGUAUCUUGUACUGAAUCCAUAGGUGCAAGAGGCGAACCAGGGGAACUGAAACAUCUAAGUACCCUGAGGAAAAGAAAUCAACCGAGAUUCCCUUAGUAGUGGCGAGCGAACGGGGAUUAGCCCUUAAGCUUCAUUGAUUUUAGCGGAACGCUCUGGAAAGUGCGGCCAUAGUGGGUGAUAGCCCCGUACGCGAAAGGAUCUUUGAAGUGAAAUCGAGUAGGACGGAGCACGAGAAACUUUGUCUGAACAUGGGGGGACCAUCCUCCAAGGCUAAAUACUACUGACUGACCGAUAGUGAACCAGUACCGUGAGGGAAAGGCGAAAAGAACCCCGGAGAGGGGAGUGAAAUAGAACCUGAAACCGUAUGCGUACAAGCAGUGGGAGCCUACUUGUUAGGUGACUGCGUACCUUUUGUAUAAUGGGUCAGCGACUUAUAUUCAGUGGCAAGCUUAACCGUAUAGGGUAGGCGUAGCGAAAGCGAGUCUUAAUAGGGCGUUUAGUCGCUGGGUAUAGACCCGAAACCGGGCGAUCUAUCCAUGAGCAGGUUGAAGGUUAGGUAACACUGACUGGAGGACCGAACCCACUCCCGUUGAAAAGGUAGGGGAUGACUUGUGGAUCGGAGUGAAAGGCUAAUCAAGCUCGGAGAUAGCUGGUUCUCCUCGAAAGCUAUUUAGGUAGCGCCUCAUGUAUCACUCUGGGGGGUAGAGCACUGUUUCGGCUAGGGGGUCAUCCCGACUUACCAAACCGAUGCAAACUCCGAAUACCCAGAAGUGCCGAGCAUGGGGAGACACACGGCGGGUGCUAACGUCCGUCGUGAAAAGGGAAACAACCCAGACCGCCAGCUAAGGUCCCAAAGUUGUGGUUAAGUGGUAAACGAUGUGGGAAGGCUUAGACAGCUAGGAGGUUGGCUUAGAAGCAGCCAUCCUUUAAAGAAAGCGUAAUAGCUCACUAGUCGAGUCGGCCUGCGCGGAAGAUGUAACGGGGGCUCAAACCACACACCGAAGCUGCGGGUGUCACGUAAGUGACGCGGUAGAGGAGCGUUCUGUAAGCCUGUGAAGGUGAGUUGAGAAGCUUGCUGGAGGUAUCAGAAGUGCGAAUGCUGACAUGAGUAACGACAAUGGGUGUGAAAAACACCCACGCCGAAAGACCAAGGGUUCCUGCGCAACGUUAAUCGACGCAGGGUUAGUCGGUUCCUAAGGCGAGGCUGAAAAGCGUAGUCGAUGGGAAACAGGUUAAUAUUCCUGUACUUCUGGUUACUGCGAUGGAGGGACGGAGAAGGCUAGGCCAGCUUGGCGUUGGUUGUCCAAGUUUAAGGUGGUAGGCUGAAAUCUUAGGUAAAUCCGGGGUUUCAAGGCCGAGAGCUGAUGACGAGUCGUCUUUUAGAUGACGAAGUGGUUGAUGCCAUGCUUCCAAGAAAAGCUUCUAAGCUUCAGGUAACCAGGAACCGUACCCCAAACCGACACAGGUGGUCGGGUAGAGAAUACCAAGGCGCUUGAGAGAACUCGGGUGAAGGAACUAGGCAAAAUGGCACCGUAACUUCGGGAGAAGGUGCGCCGGCUAGGGUGAAGGAUUUACUCCGUAAGCUCUGGCUGGUCGAAGAUACCAGGCCGCUGCGACUGUUUAUUAAAAACACAGCACUCUGCAAACACGAAAGUGGACGUAUAGGGUGUGACGCCUGCCCGGUGCCGGAAGGUUAAUUGAUGGGGUUAGCGCAAGCGAAGCUCUUGAUCGAAGCCCCGGUAAACGGCGGCCGUAACUAUAACGGUCCUAAGGUAGCGAAAUUCCUUGUCGGGUAAGUUCCGACCUGCACGAAUGGCGUAACGAUGGCGGCGCUGUCUCCACCCGAGACUCAGUGAAAUUGAAAUCGCUGUGAAGAUGCAGUGUAUCCGCGGCUAGACGGAAAGACCCCGUGAACCUUUACUGUAGCUUUGCACUGGACUUUGAGCCUGCUUGUGUAGGAUAGGUGGGAGGCUUUGAAGCGUGGACGCCAGUUCGCGUGGAGCCAUCCUUGAAAUACCACCCUGGCAUGCUUGAGGUUCUAACUCUGGUCCGUGAUCCGGAUCGAGGACAGUGUAUGGUGGGCAGUUUGACUGGGGCGGUCUCCUCCUAAAGAGUAACGGAGGAGUACGAAGGUGCGCUCAGACCGGUCGGAAAUCGGUCGCAGAGUAUAAAGGCAAAAGCGCGCUUGACUGCGAGACAGACACGUCGAGCAGGUACGAAAGUAGGUCUUAGUGAUCCGGUGGUUCUGUAUGGAAGGGCCAUCGCUCAACGGAUAAAAGGUACUCCGGGGAUAACAGGCUGAUACCGCCCAAGAGUUCAUAUCGACGGCGGUGUUUGGCACCUCGAUGUCGGCUCAUCACAUCCUGGGGCUGAAGCCGGUCCCAAGGGUAUGGCUGUUCGCCAUUUAAAGUGGUACGCGAGCUGGGUUUAGAACGUCGUGAGACAGUUCGGUCCCUAUCUGCCGUGGACGUUUGAGAUUUGAGAGGGGCUGCUCCUAGUACGAGAGGACCGGAGUGGACGAACCUCUGGUGUUCCGGUUGUCACGCCAGUGGCAUUGCCGGGUAGCUAUGUUCGGAAAAGAUAACCGCUGAAAGCAUCUAAGCGGGAAACUUGCCUCAAGAUGAGAUCUCACUGGGAACUUGAUUCCCCUGAAGGGCCGUCGAAGACUACGACGUUGAUAGGCUGGGUGUGUAAGCGUUGUGAGGCGUUGAGCUAACCAGUACUAAUUGCCCGUGAGGCUUGACCAU